CCGCCACAGCACUCCGAGGAGCGAGUGGGCACCCUCAGAGGGUACCGCCAGCAUCACCAGCAUCACCUCCAGCAUCCUCCCAGUCCUCCAGAGCACAGGAGUGAAUGGGAGGCGGGCGGAUAUCUCCCCAGAGGAGGGAUUUAUUCGUCCAACACCAGUGAAAUGUCCUACCCCUCUAGUCCAAAGGUGAUGAGAAACGCAUCCCAUGCCAGUCGUAUUUCCAAUUCGAGCAGUCCCCUGCAACUAGCUCCCAGUCCCCCCAACCAGAGGCGUCAGACGGCCCCUGUCAUGUCCAAACCCGUGAUGCUGCCUCAGUCGCAGACCCACCGACCAGAUCCACACAGACCUGCUCUCCGUUCUGAUGGCCUGGUAUGAAACACACCGCACAGCAAUUAUCGACAUCCUCCUGAAUCCACCUUAACACACUCCUAAAGCAUCCCACACUCUGUGCAAACAUUUGGCUGAAGCAUUAAUCUUCCCCUGAUGUUCAAGUUUCCAGCCAUCAUGGGCUUUUGUAUUGUAUUAUGCAUGUGACCACUUCUUGUCCUUGCCAGAAACUCUAACAAAACCAGCCAGACUAUUUAUUUCUCAAGCUUUGUUUACUUAAGACGUGUCAACUGAGCAAUUCUCUUUUACAUUAACCAUCUGCCUUACUCAGUAUAGUUAUAGUGACACCUGAUGAUCACACACUUCUACCUCUGCAGCUGGAGGUAGAAAUCCAUACCACCUAUGGUACCCUUAGCCAGAGAUGCAAUUAAUCAUUCACCUUCGUCGUGGCACAUUCUGCCCUGAUCGAAUGAGUUCACAAACUGGGGAAUAAUUCCGCUCACGCCUUUGUUAUUGAUGUUUUUGGAUACACCAAACGUGACUGGAUUUGAAGCUGAAUUACACACUUCGGCAUGAAGGAAACAUGCUGUUUAAUGAUCUUUUGUCACAUCUGCUGCAGUAUAUUCUCACUGUGAUGAACCAUCUCCUGUAGUAUCUGUGCUGAGCUUCAGUUCUAGUCUGUCACUUUAUUUUUUCCUUGAAUAAUCUAAAAUGAGUGAAAAGUCUAUUUUUCUUAGUGUCAACAAAUUCAAUUUUAGAAACAACAAUUAAUUGAUCUAUUUCCAAGUUUUGUCUCUGUAAGACACAACAUAAAAGUGACCCAUCUUGCCUAGAUUCCAAGUCCCCACAAAAACAGUUAUAACAUUUAAUCACCACUCCAAUAGACGAAUUCAGCUUCAGUGUGCCAAAGCAAUUAACAAAGCUAUCUAAAGAAAUGCAACAAGAUAACCUAACCAAAAACUACAAAUCCAGUAUGUCACCUCUGUGUUUAGAACAAACAGGAGGAAUGACAGGCCUCCCUCUGAGAUUCCAUCAGAGCACCAAAUCCACCCAGAUGGCAAAAGCUGCAGGUGGAGGUGCAGGAUGCAGGUGUGGCUGGUUGGUAGAUGAGUGAUUCCUCUGCACUGCGACAGCGCCAUAUUGGCUGCUUAUAUUCUCGGCGGUCAUCGGUCAGGAACCAGUCAUCACCUGUGCCUGCACACCUCAAUUAACACACAAUCUGUCUGACUAUAGACUGUACAGUCUAAACACCUGAUGCAUCUAUACGUCCGAUAUAGGAAAAGACAACAGACUCGUACCAUUUUUCUCUGACAUGCUCAACAUUCUUGUUUAUACAUUUCUAAUUUCUUUGUUAGAGUCAUAAACACUGUUGCUCAUUUUAGGAGUUUGCCAAUCAUACUAUCCCACUGAAUAAAUGUGUAGAUGUCAGUAGUCUGCAACAAAUACACUUUUAGGCCACAUUUGUUUUCUAUUGCUUUGUUUUAUGUUUUUUAAGAACUCCGAUCUUUGAAUCUUCCUUGAAUAGAAAUGUGUUUUUUUUCUUGGAAUUUGUUCGUAAAAUAAUUCCUCAUGACCUCCGAUUUAACUCCUGUGGACAUUUUCUGAUAUUGAUUUUAUUUCACAGCUACUUAUUUAUUAGAAUAGUCUGUGUGCUUACCAAGAGUAGUUUACCAUAGCGAUGCAACAAAUGGAUUUUCAGUGGAAAAUUAAUCGAUAAAUAUUACCAUAAUCAAAACCUUUUUUUUUUUUCACGCAACAAAGGUCAAAUCUUGCAUGGCUCCAGAUUUCUGGUUUUCUUGGUUUUAUAUUCUAGUAAGCUAAAUAUCUUUGGAUUUUGACAUAGAAAAGACAGUUGGCUUCACUAGGAUGAAAUUUAAUAAAGAGAUUUAUUCAAAAAAAACAAUGGAUCUUGAAAAUAAUUGUGAGUCUCCAACCAGGGAGGGCAACAGUGCAGAGCUGUUAAACCUGGUCUUUGGUUUCCAUUGUAAUAUGCAGAAAACUGUUGAAAUUGGGUCUUUAUGAAAGCCUGAUCUUGUGUUUCAGCCUCCAGAAAUGCUGAAACGGAUGGUGCCUUUCAACUCGUCUUUUAAAUCAAACAACAAAGGACAAGUAAUCCAUCCCUCUCCCAUCAGCUGAUCUGAGUGCUUUUCUGCUUUUAUCUUUAUUUUCUUUGUCUCCGUGUUAGCACUCAGGUUUGCUGGGGAUCAGCUGGAGCCUCAGUGAUCCUUUAGUUUCAUCAUCUAGCCUCUCUGUUGGCUGCAUCGCUGCCUUUUGAUGCAGUUGUGGUGCUUACACAUGACUGAGCUUUGAUUGAUUUUGAGCAGACAGUAGUACUGUGUGGGAAUGCAUGUUGAACUGUUUUGGAGAUGAGUUUACAUUAUUACUAACAACAGGUGGUUUGACAUCAAGAGCUGUUCUGUAACGUCUCAUUUAAGUCUCCAAGUGGUUGUAAACUAUCUGUCUACAGGAAAGGGUUUCAGUUCGCUGAAUUUUGUUAGAUUCAUCUAUUAUUCUAAAUGCCACAUCCGUUAAAUGGUUUUCGGUGAUGCAGCUGCUGGCUCCAGACACAAUAAAUAUAAACAAAUGUCACAAAUGAGUUAAUUUUUUAUGUCCAACUUUGAGCAUCUGCAUACAACAGGAAGUGAACUGUUAGAUUAAUGUGUGUUUAUCCUGCAGGGAGAAAAAUGUCUCUGACUCAUCAUAGCUGAACGAAUGUGGUGUUCUUUCUCUGAAAGCUUUGUUCUGUUUCCUUCACCUUCACGUGGAAUGAAAUAGCUGUCCUGUUAGGAAUGAUUUGUGUGUGUGUGUGUGUGUGUGUGGUGUGUUAUUGUGACUUAUUCUAGGUGUGAGUCUUUAAAAGCCAUCGUGCUUUUUGAAAUAAUGACCACGAGCGUCUCCAUGGUUUCCCUUCAUUAAAAGCAGCAUUAGGCCUUAACACAGAACUGAUUGUCAAAGAAAAUCUGAGCAGCACUUCAUGCAGUGACCUGUAACACUCUAGUGAUCACAGAGAUGUUGUGCUUCUUCACUUUAUGCUGAUAUGUUGAUCAGGGGUCAUGACCUGCUUGUUGAUUCUU